GGGUGCGAUUCACUAAGAAAAAACAUCUUUACAACCAAGAAAUCAUCGUUGUAACAUCAGAUGUAAACUCGGCGGUAUUCAUUAGUUAAAAUUGUGCGAUCGUAGCGCCUCAACGAUGUUGACGGCGUGACAUAGAACUAACAUUUGGAGCCAAAUGUAUGAAAAUCGGUAUUCAGCAACACGAAACAUCCUCGCCUGCAACGACAACCUCGCCUUCGCCCUCGAUUUUAUCUGUCAAACCGAAAAGCUUGUAAAUUGUGGAUGUUUUCUUGGAUGAAGGCGAUUAAAAUAUGGCAGUUCGUCAUUCCUGUACUUAUGAUUUUUUUGUUGGAAGAAACUAAACAUCAAGAUAAUUAAAUAAAUAAAAAGUCACGCCUCCGUGAUACGUAAUAUGGAUUUACUAACUACUGAUAAAAACUAUAUUAAGGUUGACUGAAGAACAGAUUAGACAGUUGAAAGAAGAUUUCUCCUUUCCUAACAAAGGCGAAUCGUUAAGGAGGAAUUAGCAACCACACCAAUACAUUACACUGAAACAAUAUAAUAUAAAUCAUCAUACAGUACAGUGGAUAGGUGCCUAAAACUUACUGUCCAUCAACCUUUUGUAUGUACUGUAAAUUUUUUGGUUAGUGGGAUUUAUGUACCAAAUAAUGCUAUGUGACAUUGCAAGAACAAUAUCUCACGGGCAUCUGCCUCAAGGACUCAACAAUAUACAGUAGAUGCCAUCAACCAUCCAGAUAUUAUUGAUAAGUACGAGGUAAGAAGCGACUGUGACCCGGUUAACAAGCAAGCCGGACUCUAGCAGUGACUUGGACAGUGGACGUCAUGCUAGAAGUUAUUUAAUAAACAAUAAUAUGUGUGACACCUUCUAACAAUAAAUAUGUAUUUUAUUACCUG
rnacentral:lncRNA from 1 species